AAGCCACGUACCUAGGAAGCUCCGCCGUAGUUCGCUGGUGCCCUUGGUUUGGCCGGAGACCUCGCCGUCGCGGAGAAAUCGCCGGCGAAAGUCGCCUCGGCCGUGAGGAAGACGACCCUGACAGGCGGAGUCCACUGUCAGCGUCACUCUCCUUCUCUCCUUUUCUUUUAUUCAAAUCUGGAUUUUUGGCUUUCUUACAAAAAUCAUAUCUCC
rnacentral:lncRNA from 1 species